GCGGCUGGACUCUACUACCUGGCAGAACUGAUAGAAGAAUACACAGUGGCCACCAGCAGGAUCAUAAAAUACAUGAUCUGGUUCUCCACAGCCGUGCUGAUCGGCCUCUACGUUUUUGAGCACUUCCCGACCGGCAUGAUUGGCGUGGGCCUCUUCACCAACCUUGUCUACUUUGGCCUCCUCCAGACCUUCCCCUUCAUCAUGCUGACCUCGCCUAACUUCAUCCUAUCGGCUAGUGGUGGUGAAUCAUUACCUGGCGUUUCAGUUUUUUGCAGAGGAAUAUUAUCCUUUCUCAGAGGUCCUGGCCUAUUUCACUUUCUGUCUGUGGAUAAUCCCGUUUGCCUUCUUUGUGUCCCUGUCGGCUGGGGAGAACGUCCUGCCCUCCACCAUGCAGCCAGGAGAUGAUGUGGUCUCCAAUUACUUCACCAAAGGCAAGCGGGGCAAGCGCUUAGGGAUCCUGGUUGUCUUCUCCUUCAUCAAAGAGGCCAUUCUACCCAGUCGGCAGAAGAUAUACUGACCCCCUGGGGAGGGGAUGCUGGGCGGGAUCAGGAGGGUCAGGCCCCCGGGCCUCUGCACUAGGUGGCGGCCGGGAGCCGGAAGGCACGUCCCCCCAACCCUGGCCCCCCUUCCCUCGACACCCCCAGAAGCCCCUGACCCCACCCUCCUGGGGAGGCUCAGCUUGGCACAGAUAUGAUGCCGCCAGAGGCCGAGACCUCAGAGGGCGCCGGGGGAGGGAAGGUGUGGUGCCUGCUUUGCAGGAGGCCGAGUCCACCUGUGGGUGCAGAAGCUGAGCUCCAGUGGCCCUCCUGCCCCUUCCUGGACUGGGAGUUCCGGCUUGGCCAGGGCAUGCAGGGCCGGGGCCAUGACGCUGGAGAGCAGACAGUGCUGGGUUCUCUGGGCAGAUGGCCGUGGGGAGGGGCCACAGCUUGGCCCUUGCAAGAGAAAGUUUUUGCUGUUGAACUGUGAUUUCUGCCCAAGUGCUGAUUCCCAUUUGAAUAAAGAUUCUAGGUGGCACUGUUUGCCUUAAUACCCUGAAAGUUCAUCUUCCUUUCUGCCUGCUGACCUUCCACCUUGGACAGACUUUUCUGCGCCAGGGACUCCUUUUCUGGGUUUGAGUCUUGCCCUUCAAGGGACUGUUCCUGUGGCCCUUAGUGGAAGGAGGCAGAGAUGAGGAGCUGCCUGCUCAGGGGGUGGGGAGUGUUGGGCCCCCCUUCUUCUAUCUUUUCUUCCCCCGAGGCUCUGUGACUGGCAGGCUGGGGACAGAGAGGGGACAGGGUGGGACUGGGUUAGAUUUUCAGAGGAGAAUCUACAAUAUCCUAUUUAUAAGUCUUCCCCUAGAGAAGAGUGGUUUCUGGCUGAGUUCUGUCUCAGGCUCAAGGAGAAACAGGAUUAAAAAUAGGCUUUCAGACAGCCUGGGCUACAGCUUGUUUUGUAAGAAAUGGGACUGGUGGGAGAAGCUGUUUGUCACUCUAAGAGCACACAUGGGCCAGCCCUCUUCUGAGUGCUCCUGGCUCCUGGGGAGGUGACCUCCGUCUUCUAAGAAGGCAGGCCAGUCCUGGGCACGGACCAGCAUUGGUUGACCUUGUACUCCAACUACAGUGCCUUGCAAGUACUCAGCAGUCUAUAUGGGAAUGAACUCCCCACAAGAGCCAUUACUGGCCACGUCCUAUACCUCACAGCAAGGCUGGCAGGUGCAGAGAUGGACUGCACACAUGUGGUACCUUUAAACCACUGGAAAAAUCUCUGUGCUUGGAAAUCUUUACCACCUGCCUCGGGUCCCACCAUAGCCCUUCAUUUCCUUGGCUUUUGCACUCCUAGUCUCUUAAAAACACCAGCCUUCCCCUUUCCCUGGGAGGAGAAGCACCUUUUGGCCCUGUCUCGGUGGCACUGAGAUUGCCAGCUCUUCUGUCCUGUGCAGAUAAGGAUGGACAAGGUAGAGGACACUGGCGGGCUGGGGUCCUCCUGGCUGCUGGGCCAGCAGCUGGCCUUGCUGUCCGUGUCUUUAUUUCUCUCCCCAGUGGUGUGCCAGUGGCCUUGUGCUAAAUGCAGCCCCUCUUCAUAUCUCCUCUUGCUGGAUCUCUGCAGCAUCUGGCAGGCUGAUGGCGCCCAGUUCCUUGCUGGCGCUUCCUUAACACUCUGCAGUUCCCGGCAGGUCCUGUGCUGGCUCCUCCACUCACCCCAUGCACAGUGCGGUUUCUCAGGGUUCUGUCGUGGGUUCCCUGGAGGAGCCCAUCCAUGGCUAUGGCUUCAAGUAUUUGAGAGCUGACCUCCAGCCCCAGCAUCCCUCUCGGUCUUCUGAAGCACAGUGUGCUGCCUUUGUGCACACAGACAAUUCUCGUGGCUCAGAAAGCACUUGUCCUCCACGAACCUGCCUCGUGUGGGUCCCUGCCUUGGCCCCAAGAUCACUCAGGAGCCCGACCAGAAGCCUGCUUUCUCUUUCUGCCCCCACAUCCAAUCUCUAACAACUGUCAAGUUUACCAUCUGAACAUCUCUUGUUAGGAGCCGCUCCCACUGUCACUGGCUUUCCCCUGGAUUAUUGUGACAGCCUCCUGCUUCUCUGUCCCCCAGCCAGAGUAGUCUUUCUCAUGCAGAGCUGACCCAGUCACUCCCUGGCCUACAACCUUCCAUGGCUCCGCACUGCCCUCAGGUAAAACCCAGACUCUUGAGCAUGGCUUCUGAGACUCACGGUGUCAUGGUUCUCGCCCGUCUCUCUGGCCUCAUCAAUUGCCCCUCGCACUCUGAUCCUCAGCCUCCUGUAUCCAGAGAAGCCACUUUGAUUCCCCUUUCUCCUAUCCUCUCACUCUCCUUCUCUGUCAAUUCUCAGCUUAGAUUUCACUUCUUCCAGGAAGGCUGAAUGCCCCUUCUCCCUCCAGCACCCACACAUCACUCUGGGCUUACUUGCCUGCUUCCUGGUCUCUCUCCCUCACUAGACUGUAAGCUCCUUGAGGGCAGGGAUUGGCCUUCAAUUUUUGUAUCAACAGUGCCUAGCUUGGCGCCUGGCACAUAGAAAGUACUUAAUAAACGUUUGUUUAAUGAA
ensembl:lncRNA